UCAUCUUUGAUGAUCCAAUUUAUUUCAUAACUGUCGUAUAUCGUGAGCAUUUAGACUACUAGUUCACUUAAUGCCUUGGCACCAUUUGUAGACAUAACGAACGAAUUUAUUGAGUGUAGACUAAUUUCUAUACCCUUUCGCUGCAAUACGACAACAAGUUAACAAUGUCAUUAAGGUUUUUUUUAAUGUGGCGAAUUCGUUUAACAUGCAGUCCCGGGAGAGUAACCCAAGUCAGACGGAGUCAGCAGACCAGAACUGUGGCGGGACGAACUUGACAUCUUUUUACGCAACUAAUUUGAACAAGCUCUAGGGGAAACUAAUUUAUAAUAGGGAAAUGGGAUAAUUUGAAAUAAAAUACAAAACAAGCAUUCUAAGUGGAUUUAUUAAAUUAUUAUUUUUU